rnacentral:rRNA from 1 species
UACGGAGGUCCCAAGCGUUGUUCGGAUUCACUGGGCGUAAAGGGUGCGUAGGUGGUCAGGUAAGUCGGAUGUGAAAUCUCCGAGCUCAACUCGGAAACUGCAUUGGAAACUACCUGGCUCGAGGGUUGGAGGGGGGACUGGAAUGCUUGGUGUAGCAGUGAAAUGCGUAGAUAUCAAGCGGAACACCAGUGGCGAAGGCGAGUCCCUGGACAACUCCUGACACUGAUGCACGAAAGCUAGGGGAGCAAACCGG